UGGGGAAUUUUGGACAAUGGGCGAAAGCCUGAUCCAGCAAUGCCGCGUGUGUGAAGAAGGCCUUCGGGUUGUAAAGCACUUUUGUCCGGAAAGAAAUCCUUGGCUCUAAUACAGUCGGGGGAUGACGGUACCGGAAGAAUAAGCACCGGCUAACUACGUGCCAGCAGCCGCGGUAAUACGUAGGGUGCAAGCGUUAAUCGGAAUUACUGGGCGUAAAGCGUGCGCAGGCGGUUUGCUAAGACCGAUGUGAAAUCCCCAGGCUCAACCUGGGAACUGCAUUGGUGACUGGCAGGCUAGAGUAUGGCAGAGGGGGGUAGAAUUCCACGUGUAGCAGUGAAAUGCGUAGAGAUGUGGAGGAAUACCGAUGGCGAAGGCAGCCCCCUGGGCCAAUACUGACGCUCAUGCACGAAAGCGUGGGGAGCAAACAGGAUUAGAUACCCUGGUAGUCCACGCCCUAAACGAUGUCAACUAGUUGUUGGGGAUUCAUUUCCUUAGUAACGUAGCUAACGCGUGAAGUUGACCGCCUGGGGAGUACGGUCGCAAGAUUAAAACUUAAAGGAAUUGACGGGGU
rnacentral:rRNA from 1 species